GCGGCAGCAGGCCUAGCCUGGCCGCGGUCGCAACUGGUGCAGCCGUGGCCUGGGCUGGGAGGUGCUGGGAGGCAGUGGGAUGGACUGGCUCUGGCAACGCCGGUGGGGGUAUCUUCCAAGGGAGUGUUCGGGGAGAAGACCGCCGAGCAAGUGGAGCGAGCUGUAAGCCUCAGAGGAGUAGAAAGGUGUUGGACUUCAUAGGCCAGGGAAAUACAAGCCUUGAUCCAUCUGGACAGAGUAGACAUCGAGACCUGUUGUUCCACUGUGGAUGGUAGGAACGACAUGAACAAUGCUUCCGUGGAACGGAAUGAAGAGGUCCGAGACAGGUGGAUCCGGAGGCGGCGAUUAAAGGAGUUCGUCCGUCCAGAGAAGUGAUGCCCUGGAAAGGAUAGAAGCUGCUAUGGAGGCCCGUAUUGACAAUGAAAUGCAUUCGUUGUUCUUCUUCAGUCCUUGAGGACUAAUUCUCCAUCUCGGGGCAGGAUGGCACCAGAUGUGAGAGCGGCCACGUGAGUGUCGACAGAAGGAGAAGACUCAGAGGACGCCCCAGAGGAGUCCGAGCCCUGAGAAGUGGUGGAAGAGGACUGAUCUCUGCGCUUGCCGCACUUUCUAUGAGGGCAGCGUUUUUCAAGAGUCUGGUUCAAUAAAGAGGAAAACCAGAGACGCCAUGGCUCAGGUACCUCCCCGGUGGGAGGUGGGGCUGGAAUGGUGAUGCCUGUAGGGGGUUGAGGACGCACUGGUCCGCCAGGGCUACUGGCUCAGAAGGUCCUG